AAAAAAAAUGGAAAUAUACAGAGUAGUUUUUUAACUAACUUAAAAAAGUGAAUGAAAUGAAUAUUCCGCGAUUAAUCCAAGUGAUAAUGCUGAUAUGAGUAACGAUAAGAUGUAAUACAUCCGCCUUAAGCUUAUGGUAUUUAAUUAAAUUUACGGCUUCUAAGUAAAAAACGAUGAACUCGUUAUGAAAACAAGACUAAUUAAAAUUAAAUUAGUUCGGGAAAAAACAUAACAAAACAUAGUAAAUCAUAAAUAUUCUGAAUCUUAUGCGUGAAAUUUUUUUCAGUAUAUUUAUGGAAACCGUACCUAAAUACUAACACAAGUAAGCAAGUAGAAAAUACGAAGGCGUUUGAGUAAUCAAUCAUUAAGGAACUCGGCAAAUUUACUCACGUAACUUCGGGAUAAGGUGAGCCAUUCACAAUAGGAAUAUAAACUAAGAUUCUAAAAAUCUUAAAUAUAUUACAAAGUGAAUAGGAGGCAUAGAAUUGUGUUGUACGACUGUUUAUUUAAAACACAGCACUCUGCAAAGAUAGAUAUCUAAAUAUAGAGUGUGAAGUCUGCCCAGUGUCGGAAGGGUAACAGAUUUGCUUAAUUAAAAACUAGGUUUUGAAGAAAUCCCCGACAAACGGCGGCCUUACCGAUGAGGGUCCUAAGGUAGCGGAAUACCCUGGCCGUUAAAUGCGGUCUUGCAUGAAUGACGUAACGAUACAACAGCUGUCUCGAUGAUUGGCUCAGUGAAAUUGGAAUAGCAGUGCAGAUACUGUUUACCUCUAGAUAGACGAGAAGACCCUAUGCAGCUUUACUGUUACCAAUUGAGAUAUGGUUAUAAGAAUUACAAGUGUAUAAGGUAGUAGUACUUACAUUAAAUAAAUGUAAGUAAUACAACAAUGAGACACCUUUAUUUACUUUAUUACAUUCAAAUGAUUGGAAGACAGUUUAUGCGGGGCACAGAUCCCACAAAAAGUACCUGGGUAUAUCCAAAAUUCCAUUCGUAAAUAUGCAUGUUAUAUGCAUAAAUACUUAGAAAA
rnacentral:ncRNA from 1 species